rnacentral:lncRNA from 1 species
CAUGAGCUAUUUACUCCCCCAUCCUUUCAGGUUGUACUUUUCAGCAUCAUGCAGCCAUUUGGGAGGACAGACCUAUAACUUGCAGUGCAAUGCUGCACCCAAGUUUGAAACAGCAGGAUGCACCAUAUCCUCCAGAGAAGCAGCUCGUUGGUCCAGCUAUGAACUACUGGUCAAGGGGGAAAGACUGACUCUCCCACCCUUAGUCCCUAACUGUAGCAGCAUGGUCCUUGGAAAAAUGUAA